GAUGAACGCUGGCGGCGUGCCUAAUACAUGCAAGUCGAGCGAACGGACGAGAAGCUUGCUUCUCUGAUGUUAGCGGCGGACGGGUGAGUAACACGUAGAUAACCUACCUAUAAGACUGGGAUAACUUCGGGAAACCGGAGCUAAUACCGGAUGAUAUUUUGAACCGCAUGGUUCAAAAGUGAAAGACGGUCUUGCUGUCACUUAUAGAUGGAUCCGCGCUGCAUUAGCUAGUUGGUAAGGUAACGGCUUACCAAGGCAACGAUGCAUAGCCGACCUGAGAGGGUGAUCGGCCACACUGGAACGGAGACACGGUCCAGACUCCUACGGGAGGCAGCAGUAGGGAAUCUUCCGCAAUGGGCGAAAGCCUGACGGAGCAACGCCGCGUGAGUGAUGAAGGUCUUCGGAUCGUAAAACUCUGUUAUUAGGGAAGAACAUAUGUGUAAGUAACUGUGCACAUCUUGACGGUACCUAAUCAGAAAGCCACGGCUAACUACGUG
rnacentral:rRNA from 1 species